rnacentral:rRNA from 1 species
AUUGAACGCUGGCGGCAGGCCUAACACAUGCAAGUCGAACGAACCCUUCGGGGUUAGUGGCGGACGGGUGAGUAACACGUGGGAACGUGCCUUUAGGUUCGGAAUAACUCAGGGAAACUUGUGCUAAUACCGAAUGUGCCCUUCGGGGGAAAGAUUUAUCGCCUUUAGAGCGGCCCGCGUCUGAUUAGCAGGUUGGUGAGGUAAUGGCUCACCAAGGCUACGAUCAGUAGCUGGUCUGAGAGGAUGACCAGCCACAUUGGGACUGAGACACGGCCCAAACUCCGACGGGAGGCAGCAGUGGGGAAUCUUGCGCAAUGGGCGAAAGCCUGACGCAGCCAUGCCGCGUGGAUGAUGAAGGUCUUAGGAUUGUAAAAUCCUUUCACCGGUGAAGAUAAUGACUGUAGCCGGAGAAGAAGCCCCGGCUAACUUCGUGCCAGCCGCCGCGGUAAAAC